rnacentral:rRNA from 1 species
ACGUAGGGCGCAAGCGUUGUCCGGAAUUAUUGGGCGUAAAGGGCUCGUAGGCGGCCAACUAAGUCGGAUGUGAAAUCCCCAGGCUCAACUUGGGAACUGCAUCCGAUACUGGAUGGCUUGAAUCCGGGAGAGGGAUGCGGAAUUCCAGGUGUAGCGGUGAAAUGCGUAGAUAUCUGGAGGAACACCGGUGGCGAAGGCGGCAUCCUGGACCGGCAUUGACGCUGGGGAGCGAAAGCCAGGGGAGCAAACGGGA